AAAAACGGCACGCUGCCAUUGUUGAAUGAGAAAUCUAGUGCUAUAAAAGGUCAACUUUUCAAAAACUCUGAAAAUAGAGCUUGAUGAAUAUUGCUUUUAUUCGCUUUCAGAAAUCACCCCACUUGAAGUAACAGUAAGAUGAAAAUGUAGAUCUGCGAAGAAUACAGCUCGUAGAAAAAAGAAGGAAACAGAGAUCGGAACCAAUCUUCAGGCAAAUUAUCCUCCUGUCUUUUUAAGCACAGAAACCAGAAAGGACUGACGCAGGAAGAAGAGAUUUUCUUACACCCCCAUCAUCUACCGGGAAGGAAGUCUCGGUGUAUCCUCUCUUCACCACCUCAGGGACGGAUAGGGCUUCCACUGGCAUCUUGUUUACAGACCAACAGUGGUAGUGGUUGGUGUCGACAGCAGUAACUGAAGACAGUGAUUCUGAAGAUGAUCUUUUGUGUCAUCCUACUCAAUCAUGGCACAUCAACCUGGAAGAGAGGUGAAAAAGAAAUGUCAG
rnacentral:lncRNA from 1 species